AAACUGCGAAAUCUGACCAGAAGCCCUUAGCCUCCCAGGCUCUGUAGCUUCUGCAGUGAUGAGGCCUGGCCACCAGAUGGCUCCACAGAGGCCACUGCUCUCUCAGGGAAGAGGAGGCUGGGAAGAUCCAGGGGAGGACAUGGAAUUGGAUUCUCACCUGGGGAAGCUGUGGGAGUAAGAAGGAAGCCGAGGCUAUCAUCAACAAGCCUGCCUUUCGGAUCCUGCAGGAAAAACCCAUGUA
rnacentral:lncRNA from 1 species